rnacentral:snoRNA from 1 species
CCCCUCUCAGGGUCGCACCUGGAGAGUUUCCAGUACUCUACCGGUCCCGACUACAAGAGGGAGAGUCGAGCAGAGACCCGCCCAUUCCAUUCCUAGCUCGGCCAGUGGCUAGCGAGUGGAAGACAAUCUGCUACAAGU